rnacentral:rRNA from 1 species
GAUGAACGCUGGCGGCGUGCCUAAUACAUGCAAGUCGAGCGAAUGGAUUAAGAGCUUGCUCUUAUGAAGUUAGCGGCGGACGGGUGCGUAACACGUGGGUAACCUGCCCAUAAGACUGGGAUAACUCCGGGAAACCGGGGCUAAUACCGGAUAACAUUUUGAACCGCAUGGUUCGAAAUUGAAAGGCGGCUUCGGCUGUCACUUAUGGAUGGACCCGCGUCGCAUUAGCUAGUUGGUGAGGUAACGGCUCACCAAGGCAACGAUGCGUAGCCGGCCGGAGAGGGUGGUCGGCCACACUGGGACUGAGACACGGCCCAGACUCCUACGGGAGGCAGCAGUAGGGAAUCUUCCGCAAUGGACGAAAGUCUGACGGAGCAACGCCGCGUGAGUGAUGAAGGCUUUCGGGUCGUAAAACUCUGUUGUUAGGGAAGAACAAGUGCUAGUUGAAUAAGCUGGCACCUUGACGGUACCUAACCAGAAAGCCACGACUAACUACGUGCCAGCCGCCGCAGUAA